UUCCGGUUGAUCCUGCCGGAGGCUACCGCUAUUGGAGUUCGAUUAAGCCAUGCGAGUCGAGAGUCUUAGGGACUCGGCGUACCGCUCAGUAACACGUGGGUAACCUGCCCUAUGCUGGGGAAUAACCUCGGGAAACUGAGAAUAAUACCCCAUAGUUCACCACGCCUGGAACGGUGGGUGGAUGAAAGCUCCGGCGGCAUAGGAUGGGCCUGCGACGUAUCAGGUUGUAGGGGGUGUAACGUACCCUCUAGCCAUCAACGCGUACGGGUGUUGGGAGACAUAGCCCGGAGAUGGAUUCUGAGACACGAAUCCAGACCCUACGGGGUGCAGCAGGCGCGAAAACUUGGCAAUGCGAGCAAUCGUGACCAGGGAACUCCAAGUGGCUGGGGUAAUACCCAGUUUUUUCUUGACUCUUCAAAGGUCUUGGAAUAAGGGGUGGGUAAGGACGGUGCCAGCCGCCGCGGUAAUACCGGCGCCUCAAGUGGUAGUCGCUUUUAUUGGGCCUAAAACGUCCGUAGCCGGUCUGGUGCAUUCGUGGGUAAAUCAACCCGCUCAACGGGUUGAAUUCUGCGAGCACGGCCAGACUUGGGACCGGGAGAGGUGUGGGGUACUCUCAGGGUAGGGGUAAAAUCCUGUCAUCCUGAGAGGACCACCUGUUGCGAAGGCGCCACACUAGAACGGAUUC
rnacentral:rRNA from 1 species